GUCGAGAAUAAUUCACAAUGGACGAAAGUCUGAUGGUGCAACGCCGCGUGGAGGAUGACGGUCUUCGGAUUGUAAACUCCUGUCAUCCGGGAGUAAGACCUGGCUGUGAAUAGCAGACAGGGUUGAUAGUACCGGAAGAGGAAGGGACGGCUAACUUCGUGCCAGCAGCCGCGGUAAUACGAAGGUCCCGAGCGUUGUUCGGAAUCACUGGGCGUAAAGGGAGCGUAGGCGGCGUGGUAUGUCAGAUGUGAAAUCCCGGGGCUCAACCCCGGAACUGCAUCCGAUACUGCCGUGCUAGAGGAUUGGAGAGGUAGCUGGAAUUCUUGGUGUAGCAGUGAAAUGCGUGGAGAUCAAGAGGAACACUCGUGGCGAAAGCGAGCUACUGGACAAUAUCUGACGCUGAGGCUCGAAGGCCAGGGUAGCGAAAGGGAUUAGAAACCCGAGUAGUCC
rnacentral:rRNA from 1 species